rnacentral:snoRNA from 1 species
AAUGCCCUUAGAGGCAUUCAUUGUAGAUAAGGCUGUUGUUUCAUAUGUAUAUCAGUAGGUGGCAGAGAGGAGAGAGGUUAUGUUCAUGGUAAGUGAACAUAUGGAUGAUUCGUAGCUUAAUACU